AAACUUACCUGGCAAGGGAGAUACCGUGAUCAAGAAGGCGGUUCACCCAGGGUGAGGCUCAGCCAUUGCACUCCGGCUGUGCUGACCCCUGCGAAUUUCCCGAAUGUGGAAAUCUCGAUUGCAUCAUUUCUGGUAGUGGGGGACUGCGUUUGCGCUCUCCCCUG
ensembl:snRNA U1 U1 spliceosomal RNA